AAGGGAUCCUUUAGCAAUCUAGAGCCAAAACGCUUUCUGGUUCGCUACGCUAAUAUUAAAAAAAAAAGGGUUUCCCCAAUGACGGGGACUAUUAAGUAAAGGGUGCGAACAGCACUUAUUAGAACCAUAAUCCUACGGGUAACUAUGGUGACUCCUGGAUAUUUAAUUGCUAAGCGCUAUGGUCGAGUACCCACGCUUAGUCUAUGGCAGGCUUCUGCCCUAACAGCCAGAUGGUUAGAUCAGGGCUAACAUGGCUUUGACGGGUAACGGGGAAUCUGGGUUCGAUUCCGGAGAGGGAGCCUGAUAACGGCUACCACACUCAAGGAAGGCAGCAGGCGGCGGAAUUUAACCUAAUGCUAGCUCUGUGAGUUAGUGACGAAAAUCUUGGAUGUGAGGUUCUAACGGAGCCUUACAUUGAAUGAGUUUAUUGUAAAACUUAUUACGACAAACUACCGGAGGCAGCCUGGUGCCAGCAGCCGCGAUAAUUUCCAGCUCCAUUAGCGUACGCUAAUGUUGC
rnacentral:rRNA from 1 species